rnacentral:rRNA from 1 species
UGAUUCAGAAAAUAACGGGAGAGGUAAAAUUCCAUGAUCGCUAUAAGAUGAACGAGAGCGAAAGCAUUUCACUCAAUUAUGUCCAUUAAUCAAGAACGAAAGUUAGGGGAUCGAAGACGAUCAGAUACCGUCGUAGUCCUAACUAUAAACGAUGUCAACCAAGGAUUGGAUAAACAAAACGAGGAUGAAUCUGAAGGCUCAUUGAGCUGGAAGUGUAGUUCUCAUAUAUUACCUUAUUCAGAACUUAAAGAGAAAUCUUGAGUUUAUGGACUUCAGGGGGAGUAUGGUCACAAGGCUGAAACUUAAAGGAAUUGACGGAAGGGCACACCAGGAGUGGAGCCUGCGGCUUAAUUUGACUCAACACGGGAAAACUUACCAAGACCGAACAGUAUUAGGAAUGACAGGUUAAGAGUCCUUUCAUGAUUUAUUGGGUAGUGGUGCAUGGCCGUUCUUAGUUGGUGGAGUGAUUUGUCAGGUUAAUUCCGGUAACGAACGAGACUGAAACCUAUUAAUUAGUUGGCUGCCUAUAAGACAGACACGUAGCAAUACGGGUGUUUACACCACUUCUUAAAGGGACACAUUUCAAUUGUUCUCCUUUAAUUCGAUCUCAAAGCUCUGCUUUGAACUUAUUAAAGGGGAAAAAAGAAAAAGGAAGCAUUCAGCAAUAACAGGUCUGUGAUGCCCUUAGACAUCUUGGGCCGCACGCGCGCUACAAUGGAGUUACUAGAGAGUAUUUUGCUAGAAGAGCCCUUUAUUGUACUUUGUGCAGUAGAGGUCAACUUUUCUAGCGUAGCUAGACUGAAAUAGUUAAGCAAAACUCAAAAGAACGUACUUGACAGGGAUAAAUGAUUGGAAUUAUUUG